AUUGAACGCUGGCGGCAUGCCUUACACAUGCAAGUCGAACGGCAGCACGGGGCAACCUGGUGGCGAGUGGCGAACGGGUGAGUAAUGCAUCGGAACGUACCUGUCAGUGGGGGAUAACGUAGCGAAAGUUACGCUAAUACCGCAUAUUCUGUGAGCAGGAAAGCAGGGGAUCGCAAGACCUUGCGCUGAUUGAGCGGCCGAUGUCAGAUUAGCUAGUUGGUGAGGUAAAGGCUCACCAAGGCGACGAUCUGUAGCGGGUCUGAGAGGAUGAUCCGCCACACUGGAGCUGAGACAAGGUCCAGACUCCUACGGGAGGCAGCAGUGGGGAAUUUUGGACAAUGGGGGCAACCCUAAUCCAGCCAUGCCGCGUGAGUGAAGAAGGCCUUCGGGUUGUAAAGCUCUUUCGGCCGGGAAGAAAUCGCACGGGCUAAUACCCUGUGUGGAUGACGGUACCGGAAUAAGAAGCACCGGCUAACUACGUGCCAGCCGCCGCCGUAAAAC
rnacentral:rRNA from 1 species